CGUAGGUGGCAAGCGUUGUCCGGAUUUAUUGGGUUUAAAGGGUGCGUAGGUGGUCUAUUAAGUCAGUGCUGAAAUAUCCCGGCUUAACCGGGAGGUGGCAUUGAUACUGAUGGACUUGAGUAAAGUUGAGGUUGGCGGAAUUGACGGUGUAGCGGUGAAAUGCUUAGAUAUCGUCAAGAACACCUAUUGCGAAGGCAGCUAACUAAGCUUUAACUGACACUGAGGCACGAAAGUGUGGGGAUCAAACAGGAUUAGAUACCCUGGUAGUCCACACUGUAAACGUUGAUUACUCGCUGUUGGCGAUACACAGCCAGCGGCUUAGCGAAAGCGAUAAGUAAUCCACCUGGGGAGUACGCCGGCAACGGUG
rnacentral:rRNA from 1 species